GGCACAGUGGCGGAGUGGUCUAACGCGUGUGACUCGAACCACUAUCUAGACUAAUGAUCUAUGAUAGCAACUGUGUCAAUCACAUCUCUUCGGAGGCGCCUGUUCGAAUCAGGCCUGUGUCG